rnacentral:rRNA from 1 species
GAUGAACGCUAGCGGAAGGCUUAAUACAUGCAAGUCGAGCGGUAGGUGGCUUCGGCCAUUGAGAGCGGCGCACGGGUGAGUAACGCGUACAUGACCUGCCUGUCAGAAGGGGAUAGCCCUGGGAAACUGGGAUUAAUACCCUAUGGUAUUGAUAUUAUGAAUGAUAUCAAUUAAAGUUGAGGCGCUGACAGAUGGAUGUGCGUCUGAUUAGCUAGUUGGUAGGGUAACGGCCUACCAAGGCGACGAUCAGUAGGGGGCGUGAGAGCGUGGUCCCCCACACGGGUACUGAGACACGGACCCGACUCCUACGGGAGGCAGCAGUAAGGAUAUUGGUCAAUGCCCGCAAGGGUGAACCAGCCAUUCCGCGUGGAGGAUGAAGGCCCUAUGGGUUGUAAACUUCUUUUAGAUGGGAAGAAAUGCUAGAUGUAUCUGGUACUGACGGUACCAUCAGAAUAAGCACCGGCUAACUCCGUGCCAGCAGCCGCGGUAA